GCUGUCAUAGCUCAACGGUAGCAGCAACUGUUUUGUAAUCAGUAGGUUGGGAGUUCAAAUCUCUCUGACAGCA
rnacentral:tRNA from 1 species